rnacentral:rRNA from 1 species
CCUACGGGUGGCAGCAGUGGGGAAUAUUUGGCAAUGGGCGCAAGCCUGACCCAGCAACGCCGCGUGAAGGAAGAAGGCUUUCGGGUUGUAAACUUCUUUUCUCAGGGACGAAGCAAGUGACGGUACCUGAGGAAUAAGCCACGGCUAACUACGUGCCAGCAGCCGCGGUAAUACGUAGGUGGCAAGCGUUAUCCGGAUUUACUGGGUGAAAAGGGCUUGUUGGCGGGAAAGCAAGUCAGAUGUAAAAACCAUGGGCUAAACCUGUGGCCUGAUUUUGAAACUGUUUUUAUUGAGGACUGGGAAGGAAGACGGAAGUCUAGUGUAGCGGUGAAAUGCGUAGAUAUUAGGAGGAACACCAGUGGCGAAGGCGGUCUGCUGGACAGCAACUGACGCUGAGGCGCGAAAGCGUGGGGAGCAAACAGGAUUAGAUACCCCAGUAGUC